rnacentral:rRNA from 1 species
AACUUUUAGCGUGGAUCACUUGGCCCGUUGAUUGAUGAAGAGCUUAAAUAGUGCUGAUUGCAGACGCAUUGAGCGCACAAAAAUCUCGAACGCACAUUGCAUCAUUGAGUUGAUUCCCGAUGGUAUGUCUGGUUGAGGACCA